rnacentral:misc_RNA from 1 species
GAUGAAGAACACAGCGAAAUGCGAUACGUAAUGUGAAUUGCAAAUUCAGUGAAUCAUCGAGUCUUUGAACGCACAUUGCGCCCCCUGGUAUUCCGGGGGGCAUGCCUGUCCGAGCGUCAUUGCUGCCCUCAAGCACGGCUUGUGUGUUGGGCCCCGUCCUCCGAUCCCGGGGGACGGGCCCGAAAGGCAGCGGCGGCACCGCGUCCGGUCCUCGAGCGUAUGGGGCUUUGUCACCCGCUCUGUAGGCCCGGCCGGCGCUUGCCGAUCAACCCAAAUUUUUUAUCCAGGUUGACCUCGGAUCAGGUAGGGAUACCCGCUGAACUUAAGCAUAUCAAUAAGCGGAGGA